ACCUGAAGAUGCUGAUGCUUCUGCUGCUCCUGGGGCCCAGCUCUGGGCUGGGUGCUCUGGUCUCCCAAGAUCCAAGCGCAGUCAUCUGCAAGAGCGGCGCCUCUGUGCGGAUCCAGUGCCGUGCGGUGGACUUUGAAGCCUCCACCGUGUUUUGGUAUCGUCAACUCCCGACACAGGGCCUCACGCUGAUGGCAACUUCGAACGUGGGCUCCGACGCCACACAUGAACGAGAUUUCCCUGCGGCCAAGUUUCCCAUCAGCCAUGUAAACCUCACAUUUUUCACUCUGAAGGUGACGAGUGCGAGUCCUGCGGACAGCAGUCUCUACUUCUGCGGUGCUAGUGCUGAGAAAACUUGUGACAAAAUCCAGUACUUGUUCAAAAUAAGCACUCUUAUCAAACUGGUAAAGGAGAGGUUUCUCAACCUGCUAGAGGCUAUCAACAAAGAAUGCAUAACAAACAUCCUGUUCAAUGGUUAA